rnacentral:lncRNA from 1 species
CAAGCUUCCGGGAUGGACUCAAGAUGUCGUUAUGGCUUCUCGGUUUCGUCGAGCUUUAAUGCGGGCCGAUCUUCUUGGUCGAGAGAGCUGGUCUUCAAUGUGGGCUGCAUCAUCGGCCGCUUGGCAAACUCGGACCAUGACCGAGUAGAGCGCCGCCACGGCGAAGCUUUCCACGGCGGGGGUAGCCAUGAAACGCGACGGCUUU